UACGUAGGGUGCAAGCGUUAAUCGGAAUUACUGGGCGUAAGGCGUGCGCAGGCGGUGAUGUAAGACAGAUGUGAAAUCCCCGGGCUCAACCUGGGAACUGCAUUUGUGACUGCAUCGCUGGAGUGCGGCAGAGGGGGAUGGAAUUCCGCGUGUAGCAGUGAAAUGCGUAGAUAUGCGGAGGAACACCGAUGGCGAAGGCAGUCCCCUGGGCCUGCACUGACGCUCAUGCACGAAAGCGUGGGGAGCAAACAGG
rnacentral:rRNA from 1 species